ensembl:lncRNA
GGUAUGUCUUGCCCUGGAAUUUAUUGGCCCUUGUGUGGUGCUUGGUUUCAGUGUCGGUAUGGAUGCAUUUGAUGAGCUCCCGUCAAUUAAUGUUCCUUGGAGUCAGGAGUUCCCUGGAGUCAGGGUUUGGACUUAAGUCUUCUGCUUCCGGUUAUCGGUCUUAUUUUUACAGUAGUUUCAAAACUUCUCCUUCUAUACAGCACCAUUGAUAAAACAUCUACAUUAAAGAUGAAAAGUUUCUCUACAGUGAGGGUCACUCAGAGAGGUUCACAGGGUUACAUGGAGAAGAGAAGAGGGAGGAGGGAGUUAGAGGUGACCCAAAUGGGAUGAGGUGAAUCAAUAGUGGAGAGAGUGGGCUAGCCAGUAGUCACUUCCUUAUGUGCACUCCACAACUGGACCACUCAGAGAUGUUCACGGGGUUAUACAGAGAAGAGAAGAAGGAGGAAGGUAACAGAGGUGGCCAGAAGGAUAAAAGGGGGGAAUGAAAAGGAGGGAGACAGAUCCAGCCAGUAAUCAGUUCCCUAAGUGUUCUCCACCGUCUGGAACACACAGAAUUUCACAGAGUUGGGUAGAGUAGAGAGGGGUUAGGGAGGAGACACAGGCGACCUGGUGGAGAAAAAGGAGAGUCCAAAGGGAGAGAAAGCAGUCAAGCCAGUAAUCUCACUCCCUAGUGAAAAAUGGGUCCUGAAGAUUGGGUCCUUAAAGGUACAAAAUUGGUAACAAAUACAUAAAAGCAAAAAUUAAAAAUCUAGAGUAGAGUUUGGAAUUUCAAAAAUAUGAUGUUAAAGAAAAGAAGAAGGAAAAGAAAGAGAGAAAAAACGAACAAACAAAAACAAACAAGGUCGCGAAAAUUAUAAAGAAAGUACAGGUACAAAAUUGAUAACUAAUACCAGAAAGCAAAAAUUAAAAAUCUAGAGUAGAGUUUGGAAUUUCAAAAAUACAAUGUUAAAGAAAAGAAGAAGGAAAAGAAAGAGAGAAAAAACGAACAAACAAAAACAAACAAGGUCGCGAAAAUUAUAAAGAAAGUACAGGUACAAAAUUGAUAACUAAUACCAGAAAGCAAAAAUUAAAAAUCUAGAGUAGAGUUUGGAAUUUCAAAAAUACAAUGUUAAAAAAAAAAAAAAGAAGAAGAAGAAGAAGAAGAAAAAUAAAGAGAGAAAACAAACAAACAAAUACGAACAAUGUCACAAAAAUUAUAAAGAAAAUACAGGUACAAAAUUGAUAUCAAAUACCAAAAAGCAUAAAUUAAAAAUCUAGAGUAAAGUUUGGAAUUUCAGAUAUACAAUGUUAUAUAAAAGAAGAAGAGAAAGAAACAGAGAAAGAAAAAAAAAAAAAAGUCAGAAAUUAUAU